GGAGAAGUAACUCAGUUGGUAGAGUGUCGGCUUGUCAUGCCGAUGGCCGCGGGUUCAAGUCCCGUCUUUUCC
rnacentral:tRNA from 1 species